CAAUAAGCGGAGGAAAAGAAACCAACAGGGAUUGCCCCAGUAACGGCGAGUGAAGCGGCAACAGCUCAAAUUUGAAAUCUGGCCCCAGGCCCGAGUUGUAAUUUGCAGAGGAUGCUUUUGGCGCGGUGCCUUCCGAGUUCCCUGGAACGGGACGCCAUAGAGGGUGAGAGCCCCGUACGGUUGGACACCAAGCCUUUGUAAAGCUCCUUCGACGAGUCGAGUAGUUUGGGAAUGCUGCUCUAAAUGGGAGGUACAUUUCUUCUAAAGCUAAAUAUUGGCCAGAGACCGAUAGCGCACAAGUAGAGUGAUCGAAAGAUGAAAAGCACUUUGAAAAGAGGGUUAAACAGCACGUGAAAUUGUUAAAAGGGAAGCGCUUGUGACCAGACUUGCGUCCGGUGAAUCACCCAGCUCUCGCGGCUGGGGCACUUCGCCGGCACAGGCCAGCAUCAGCUUGCCGUCGGGGACAAAAGCUUCAGGAACGUAGCUCCUCUCGGGGAGUGUUAUAGCCUGUUGUAUAAUACCCUUCGGCGGGCUGAGGUACGCGCUCCGCAAGGAUGCUGGCGUAAUGGUCAUCAGCGACCCGUCUUGAAACACGGACCAAGGAGUCAACCUUAUGUGCGAGUGUUUGGGUGUUAAACCCCUACGCGUAAUGAAAGUGAACGCAGGUGAGAGCUUCGGCGCAUCAUCGACCGAUCCUGAUGUUCUCGGAUGGAUUUGAGUAAGAGCAUAUAGGGUUGGACCCGAAAGAAGGUGAACUAUGCGUGUGUAGGGUGAAGCCAGAGGAAACUCUGGUGGAGGCUCGCAGCGGUUCUGACGUGCAAAUCGAUCGUCAAACAUGCGCAUGGGGGCGAAAGACUAAUCGAACCUUCUAGUAGCUGGUUUCC
rnacentral:rRNA from 1 species